rnacentral:rRNA from 1 species
UAGGCAGCAGUGGGGAAUAUUGCACAAUGGGGGAAACCCUGAUGCAGCGACGCCGCGUGGAGGAAGAAGGUUUUCUGAUUGUAAACUCCUGUGGUUGAGGAAGAUAAUGACGGUACUCAACAAGGAAGUGACGGCUAAUUACGUGCCAGCAGCCGCGGUAAAACGUAGGUCACAAGCGUUGUCCGGAAUUAUUGGGUGUAAAGGGAGCGCAGGCGGGAAGACAAGUUGGAAGUGAAAUCUAUGGGCUCAACCCAUAAACUGCUUUCAAAACUGUUUUUCUUGAGUAGUGCAGAGGUAGGCGGAAUUCCCGGUGUAGCGGUGGAAUGCGUAGAUAUCGGGAGGAACACCAGUGGCGAAGGCGGCCUAUUGGGCACCAACUGACGCUGAGGCUCGAAAGUGUGGGUAGCAAUCAAGAGGAGAUACCCUGGUAGUCCACCCCGUAAACGAUUAUUUUUAGGUGUUGUAGGAUUGACCCC